rnacentral:snoRNA from 1 species
AACCUCCAGAUUCCUGACCCAUUAGUUUUAAACAUUGAUUGGUCUGAAUGGCUAUACAAGAAGGAAAAGUAAAACAGAAAUGAACCGGCGUUAGAUUAUUUUGUGACAUACAAGUUUAUUUAAAAUAAGC